CAGAAAUCUUUUGGGUAAAAUUCUUCCUCUAGCGCCAAUCUGUUACCGCAGGACUCUAGAGGUAAGUGUAUGAAGUUGGUCUUGAAUCAAACUAAGGAGCUGAGAGCUGAAUUGAGCCGAUGUAGACCGUGAUCAAACCUGCAAAAGAAGUUCUGAAACCAUGAGGUACCCUCUAGUUUAGGACCCUCCAAUGCUUAAGUC
rnacentral:lncRNA from 1 species